GCUACCACUAGUUGCUAGACUAAUUGGAGAAUUCAUGAUAGACGACAUUGGGAAGAUCUGUUCUAUUUUCCAUCUAGAGAAAAAUAUCUACAAUUCAAAUAGUUUCUAUACAUAGUAGCAUCCACAAGUUUACCUUUUCUUCCCAUUUUCAAAGUGAUAUUGUUAUCUUUUUUGGUUCAAGCUGGUUUCAAUUGUUUUGACAGAACCAGCAAGUUCUCCAUAAUCAACCCUGCUAUUAUUGAGGAAAAUGGAUAAAAAAACAAACAAUGAAAUGGAGACAAUCUUUGAAAUGUGUAUUUCCUCAAAUCUUUGUGGCUUACUGAGGGUUUCGCGAGAUGGGUAUUGCUCAUGGGUUCCUUCAUCUCUGACAUUAGUGCUGGGUUGACAUAGCAUAAUCUUGCGAAUGAUCAAGUGAACUGCUGUGUUUCAGAGCUUGUUGAGGCUGAAGUGGUUGUGUGCUUGUGUCAUCAAACCAUCUGAACUUCAGUGGAUUCAUGGCCUUGAUGGAGACUAGGGGCAGGUCAGUGGCAGCUUGAUUUUUCUCCAAUUUUAUGUGCAUUCAUGGCCUUUUGAUGUUGAUAUGGUGAUGUCUUAGAUA